rnacentral:rRNA from 1 species
UACGUAGGCAGCGAGCGUUGUUCGGAAUUACUGGGCGUAAAGAGCGUGUAGGCGGCCAGGUAGGUCGGUUGUGAAAACUGGAGGCUCAACCUUCAGAGGUCGACCGAAACCAUCUGGCUAGAGUCCGGGAGAGGAGAGUGGAAUUCCUGGUGUAGCGGUGAAAUGCGCAGAUAUCAGGAAGAACACCCGUGGCGAAAGCGGCUCUCUGGAACGGUACUGACGCUGAGACGCGAAAGCGUGGGGAGCGAACAGG